rnacentral:rRNA from 1 species
CUCGUAGGUGGCCAACUAAGUCAGACGUGAAAUCCCUCAGCUUAACUGGGGAACUGCGUCUGAUACUGGAUGGCUUGAGUUUGGGAGAGGGAUGCGGAAUUCCAGGUGUAGCGGUGAAAUGCGUAGAUAUCUGGAGGAACACCGGUGGCGAAGGCGGCAUCCUGGACCAAUACUGACACUGAGGAGCAAAGCCAGGGGAGACAAACG